rnacentral:misc_RNA from 1 species
GAUGAAGAACGUAGCGAAAUGCGAUACUUGGUGUGAAUUGCAGAAUCCCGUGAACCAUCGAGUCUUUGAACGCAAGUUGCGCCUCAAGCCAUUAGGUUGAGGGCACGUCUGCCUGGGCGUCACAUAUCGUUGCCUGAUGCCAGUUUCCUCGUGAUGGGUGACUGUGCAGGGCGAAUGAUGGCUUCCCGUGAGCAUUGUUGCCUCAUGGUUGGUUGAAAAUUGAGUCCUUGGUAGGGAGCGCCGUGAUAGAUGGUGGUUGAGUGACGAACGAGACCCAAUCAUGUGAGACCCCUACCGAAUUUGGCCUUCAUGACCCACAUGCGUCUUUGGAACGCUCAUGACGAGACCUCAGGUCAGGCGGGGCUACCCGCUGAGUUUUAGCAUAUCAAUAAGCGGAGGA